rnacentral:rRNA from 1 species
UACGUAGGCAGCAAGCGUUGUUCGGAGUUACUGGGCGUAAAGGGUGUGUAGGCGGUUCUUUAAGUUUGGUGUGAAAUCUCCCGGCUCAACUGGGAGGGUGCGCCGAAUACUGAGGGACUAGAGUACGGGAGAGGAAAGUGGAAUUCCUGGUGUAGCGGUGAAAUGCGUAGAUAUCAGGAGGAACACCGGUGGUGUAGACGGCUUUCUGGACCGUAACUGACGCUGAGACACGAAAGCGUGAGUAGCAAACAGG